GACGACUCUCGGCAACGGAUAUCUCGGCUCUCGCAUCGAUGAAGAACGUAGCGAAAUGCGAUACCUGGUGUGAAUUGCAGAAUCCCGUGAACCAUCGAGUCUUUGAACGCAAGUUGCGCCCGAGGCCAUCCGGCUAAGGGCACGCCUGCCUGGGCGUCACGCUUU
rnacentral:rRNA from 1 species